rnacentral:rRNA from 1 species
GUCCACGCUGUAAACGAUGGGUACUAGGUGUUGCCGGUAUUGACCCCGGCAAUGCCGCAGCUAACGCAUUAAGUACCCCGCCUGGGGAGUACGGCCGCAAGGCUAAAACUCAAAGGAAUUGACGGGGGCCCGCACAAGCGGUGGAGUAUGUGGUUCAAUUCGACGCAACGCGAAGAACCUUACCUGGGCUUGACAUUGACGGAAUCCUGUAGAGAUACGGGAGUGCUCUUCGGAGCCCGGAAACAGGUGCUGCAUGGCUGUCGU